UACGGGGGGGGCAAGCGUUGUUCGGAAUUACUGGGCGUAAAGGGCGCGUAGGCGGUUUGCUAAGUUGGAUGUGAAAACUCUGGGCUUAACCCAGAGCCUGCAUCCAAAACUGGCAAACUUGAGUACUGGAGGGGAAAGCGGAAUUCCUGGUGUAGCGGUGAAAUGCGUAGAUAUCAGGAGGAACACCGGUGGCGAAGGCGGCUUUCUGGACAGUAGCUGACGCUGAGGCGCGAAAGCUAGGGGAGCAAACAGG
rnacentral:rRNA from 1 species